AGUGAACGCUGGCGGUAGGCCUAACACAUGCAAGUCGAACGGCAGCACAGUAAGAGCUUGCUCUUACGGGUGGCGAGUGGCGGACGGGUGAGGAAUACAUCGGAAUCUACUUUUUCGUGGGGGAUAACGUAGGGAAACUUACGCUAAUACCGCAUACGACCUACGGGUGAAAGCAGGGGAUCUUCGGACCUUGCGCGAUUGAAUGAGCCGAUGUCGGAUUAGCUAGUUGGCGGGGUAAAGGCCCACCAAGGCGCCGAUCCGUAGCUGGUCUGAGAGGCUGAUCAGCCACACUGGAACUUAGACACGGUCCAUACUCCUACGGGAGGCAGCAGUGGGGAAUAUUGGACAAUGGGCGCAAGCCUGAUCCAGCCAUACCGCGUGGGUGAAGAAGGCCUUCGGGUUGUAAAGCCCUUUUGUUGGGAAAGAAAAGCAGCAGGUUAAUACCCCGCUGUUCUGACGGUACCCAAAGAAUAAGCACCGGCUAACUUCGUG
rnacentral:rRNA from 1 species